AUGGCAAUGCUAGCUAAGCAGGCAUGGCGCCUUGUCCAACAACCAGAGAGCCUUUGUGCACGGCUGCUGAAGAGCAUAUAUUACCCGGGGGGUCAGUUUUUGAACUCUGAUUUGGGAUCUCAUCCUAGCCAGGGACUAAUCCAACGCAUAGGUAAUGGUCAAUCAACCAGAAUUUGGGAGGAUAAUUGUAUCCCGAGAGAGGAGAUGAUGAGACCGUAUGGACACCUCCAGCCAAACCCACCGGUCUAUGUGUCCGAGUUAAUAGAUCAAACUUAAGCUUCUUGGGACAAACAGCGGGUGCAUGCAACGUUCCUGCCCAUGGAUGCAAGGUGCAUACUCGGCAUCCCUUUGUGCACAAAAAACAUAGAAGAUUUCUGGAGCUGGAGCCAUGAGAGAUCGGGGUUUUUCUCGGUCAAAAGUGCAUACCGGAUGCUUGUGAGUACUAGGGCAAGAAGGGAAGCGUGGCUGGAAACAAGAGCGGGAUCAUCCAGUACGUCACAGGAGGAGGGGGCAUGGAAAACUCUCUGGAAAGUGCAAGUGCCUGCGAAAAUUCGAAUGUUUCUGUGGAGACUGUCAAAACAUUCCAUUCCCACGAAUGAUGUCCGUGAGCAUCGACACAUGACUGAUUCCAGCUCAUGUGGUAUGUGCGGUCAGCCGGACUCGUGGAGACAUUCUCUGCUGCAGUGCACUAUGUCACGGUAUAUAUGGGCUCUAGUAGAUGAGGACCUCUCUCAGCAGCUAGUAGCUGUAACGGAACCAAGCGCGAAGCAGUGGUUGUUCACUCUCAUGGAGUUGUUAACCCAUGAUCAGUUCGUUAAACUCACUGUUUCGUUGUGGGCAAUUUGGUCAUCGCGGCGCAAAGCUAUUCACGAAGGAAUAUUUCAGAGCCCACAAAGCACACAUGCGUUCAUCUGUAGGUUCAUACAAGAGCUUGAACUGGUUCAAGAACCAGGCAGAGCGCCUCAAGGCGAGGAGCGGGUGCAGUCCAACAAAACCAACGACCAAAAGCUCCUCCACCGGGUGUAG
rnacentral:rRNA from 1 species